AUGUAUAAAAUAAACUUAAAAUACAAACAUUAUCACUCUUAGCCUCUUAAAAAAUUAAAUUAAGACACUUGCACUAUUUCAUAAUUUUUUAGAGUUUGUGAUCGAGAUUCACAGCCUUUACGCUGUUAAAAAUUGAUUUAAUGGGUCAAUAAUAGUAGACUAUUUUACCGACUGUGACAAAUGUCAAUUAUUUUAGUUCGGUUAGACCGCAACCGUACGCUGCAAUCGAGUUUAGGGUAAAGAUGGUGCCCACUUGUCACUAUGGGAUUGAACCCUCUCAUACUUUUAAUUACUCUAUGAACUAAUAGUAUCCUUAGCCAUGCCGCAGCCAUGUUCUCUGGAUGCCGAGCUCACUGUUUAUCGAACUACUAUUCAUAGGUGUAUCGCCUAGUUCAGCGCCGUACUUAGUGACUAUUUUGAUAGCGUUUUUACAAAGCGUAGCGUUUUUUAUAAAAACUUUUGUAUGUUUGUUUUGUGAUUUUGAUUAAAAUGGCUACAGAAUCGUGGGGAAUGAGUCGUUGUGCGGCUGUUUUAUGUAAGAACAAUUCAAAUAAUUGUGAUUUGAGUUUUUUUAGAUUUCCGAGAGAAUGAGAAGGGCAAGAAUUUGGGCAAUUGCUUCUGGCAGAAGAUUUGAUAAUAAAGGAGAACCUCCAUACUCUUUCUUAUAAAAUUUGUGGGAGGCAUUUUGAAAACAAGAUGUUUCUAAACGAUUUACACAACAGACUACAUAAAAAUACAGUGCCCACUUUAUUCGCAGCGCUAGAAGGCACAUCUUCAGAUUCAACCAGAAAAAUAUGCUAAGAUUUAGAUGAAGCUUUUCCGCAUUCAUCCGAUGUGACCUCUGUUAUAACUUUUUCUCCAACGCUAGAAGACACAUCUUUGAAUUCAACGAAAGAAUUAUGUCAAGAUGAAACUUUACCACAAUCUUCCGAUGUAGCUUCUGUAGGUACUUUGUUUCCUGCACUAGAAAGCACAUCUUCGCAUUCAACCAAAGAAUUAUGCCAAGGUAAACAUUUUGAAAAAUAUUUACAUCCGGUAUUUGUAACUAACGUUAUUCAUUUUAUUCAGAUUUAGUUAAAACCUUCCCACAUUCAUCUGAUGAUUCAUCUGGCUUCUGUUAGUAGAUCUUGUCUCGUUACUGCGCAAUCCCACCAAACUCAAUUCAAGAGACAAAAAAGUUUAAUUUGUAUAAUCCACAGAACAUAA